rnacentral:rRNA from 1 species
GACAGAGGGGGCAAGCGUUGCUCGGAAUUACUGGGCGUAAAGGGUGCGUAGGCGGUUCGUCAAGUCUGUCGUGAAAUCCCCGGGCUCAACCUGGGAAUGGCGAUGGAUACUGGCGAGCUAGAGUGUGUCAGAGGAUGGUGGAAUUCCCGGUGUAGCGGUGAAAUGCGUAGAGAUCGGGAGGAACAUCAGUGGCGAAGGCGGCCAUCUGGGACAACACUGACGCUGAAGCACGAAAGCGUGGGGAGCAAACAGG